AAUUUCCGCAGCUCAGUUUGCUCCUCGCUCAUCCCCUACCCUCCUCUGGGACCUUCGAGAGCUCAGGCCCUAGGUGGCUGGAUGACUAUAUAGCAACGUAAGUGCACAGCUGCUGGAUUCUGCCCGAGGAGUGGCUGCACCCCAAUGCCCCAAAUGCUGAGACAGGUGCCUCUGAGAGAAGGAGCAGCAGAGACACUGUGCUGAUGCAGAAAGAGCUGGUCUGAGGGUCCAGAGGGAAGGACACAGUCCCAGCUUUGCUGUGGGGUGAGCAGUGAGCCCCUCCCUGUUGGGCCUCACUUACACCUGGAACCUAAGGUGACUGGAGCCCUAGGACUCUCCAUGACCUCAAAGUCAGCCUCUAGAGGCCUCACAGGGUGCAGGAAGAUUAGCCCUGAGCUAACAUCUGCCACCAAUCCUUCUCUUUUUUGCUGAGGAAGACUGGCCCUGAGCUAAUAUCCAUGCCCAUCUUCCUCUACUUUAUAUGAGGGAUGCCUACCACAGCAUGGCUUGCCAAGCAGUGCCAUGUCCGCACCCGGGAUCUGAACCGACGAACCCCGGGCUGCUGAAACGGAACAUGCGAACUUAACCACUGUGCCACCAGGCCGGCCCCACCACGCUCACAUUCUUGAGAUUUCUGUUGAUGAUUUCGCUGUUUAAAAUGGCCCCAAGGGUAGUGCCAAAGAGCUGUCUGGUGUUCCUAAGCACAAGAAGGCUGCCAUGUGCCCUACGGAGAAAAUACCUUCGUUCAGGUAGGAGUUACAGCGCUACUGACCGUGAGUUUACUGUUAUGGAAGCGAUUACAUCUCCAUAGAAACAGAAGAAGGUGUCUUUACACAGAAGCACACAGACAAGGUUACGUAUGGAUCGGUUGACGACCGUUGGUGAGUGAGGCUCACAGGAACCCAACCCUGUCCUUCUCCUAGGAACAGCAGCUCAGUAUUUGCUAAUUCAUUGUUCAUGGGGACUUUCUAGAACAUAACCACCGUGCACAAUGAGAAUCGACUGGACUUUCCUUCCUACGGAAGGUGCUUAGGCCUAUCAUGGGAUGCAAGAUUAAAGGAGAUACAGGGCCGACAGCUGAUGUCACCUACUAUUCAGGCAGCACUGUCUUCCCAGACCAGGUCAGGUCCCUCUCACUCCUAGGACCCUGUCUUUGUCUUUAAUAAUAGUGUUUAAAAUAGUAAUAAUGGCCACUAACACCAACUGAGCACUUACCGAGAGCCAGGCGCAUAUUAACGACUUCACAUUUACCACAUGUACCUCGUCUAAUCCUCCUGUGCUCUGCCAAACCUGGGUGGUUACAGGCCUCGGGCCCGAGGUAGCUUGUGUUGUCACAGAAAGGGCUCAGCACCCUCACUGCCCUGGGUUCCUCAAGGGAAAGGCUGGGCCUGCCUGGGAAAAGCCAUUACUUCAAGGAUUUUUAGACCGUUUUCUAGCUCUGGGGUGCAUAGUGGAAGAUGGAAGAACCUGGGCCUCAGUCGAGCCCUGAGAUAUGGCCUGAGAGGGCAGCUAACGUGUCCCCAAGCUGUGCCCCCAAGCAUACCACCACUGAGCCCGGCCCACUGCAGGGCAGCACUGGCCCUCUACUGACUGUGGUGGGCGCCAGACUGCCUUCCUCCACCUUACAUGACAGCCACUUGCCCUCUCCGUCCCAGCCUGGCAUGGUGAAAGGGCCCGGACGCCAGCCUGAGUGCCAGAUCUCAGCCUCAGCUCCACCCCAGCUGAAAUGUGAGAGCCUGAGUAUGGUGCCACUUGGCACAUGGGUGGCCCCGGGCCACUGUCAGCUUCACCCUGUGGCCCUGAGCAAGCAUCUCACAUCUUCAGCCUCUGGUUUUUCCCAUCUGUAAAGCAAAAGAGGAAUAAUUACUUCCUGCUUCCAAGUUUUCACGUUUACUAUCUCACGAUUGUAGGAGAGAAGCAAGGCCAGUAAAGAGCACAAAGACAGUAAUUGUUACUGUUGCUGAUAAAAUCGUAUGAAGAAAGUAAUAUUCCCUGGAUGCUAAAAAGAAACCAAGUGACAUCAUUAAUCAUCUCAUUUUUCAUAUUUUUCACUAAGUCAGGAUAGGCUGGGCUCCUCAAAAGGAAAAGCCAAAUUCUCAGACUAUUCCUGCCACUGAGCUCCCUGUGGAAGGAGGCAUACAAGGCAAUCACUGACCAGUCAUAGGUGCUGAUUACCUCCAAGAUACUGACAGUACUACUUAUAGGCAGCGAGAGUGAGAAAAGCUCAGAAACAGCCCCCUGAAAGGUGAGGAGAAGGAGCAACAGGCCCCUCUCCAGCUGGGCCUCUGGGAAGAUGUAAAUAGGGCUGAGUGGCAGGAGGAGAACCAGGACAAUUCUCUCCUCCUGCUGCGAGCGGGGAGCUGUGACCCUGGAGUCCCAACAGCCCACCUGCCUCUCGGCUGCCCCUGCCGGAAACUGCACAGGGCCCAAGCCUGGACAGUCGGAGCCCAGGUAAGCCGCCCCAGGUGCAGAAGUGACCUUGGCUGCAGGAAGUCCUGUCUCCCGCCUGCAACUAAUUGCAGCCGCUGCAGAGGAGCCAACCUAAUUACACAAAAAUAUGUGGCUCCCACAUUCCUGGGCCACUGCACACUCUCACACAUCUCACAGGAGAUGCAGCCCCUGCCUCCUGCUCUGGCUCCAGCCCCUCUCUUGUUCCAUUGAGCCUCCUAAGAUGGUCCCCUCUCCCGCAGCUCUCUAGAAGCUCCUGGGGGCUGCCCCAGCAGCAAUUCCCUCCACUCUCCCUUGCCUGCCUCUGAGGCACUUAACCCUCAUCUUGGCCUAAUGUAAAUAUUUAAUCCUGUACAUUUAGGAUCUGCCUGUCACUUGCCUCCACCCUGUUCUCUCCUCAUCCAAAUGGUCUCCCUGUCCGACCCAGGAGCAAGGGCAGGAUUGUGACGGGCUCCCCGACCCCGCAGAGCUCCCCACCUAGCCUAGCACCCAGCUGACGCUUCAUAACCAUCCAUGGUGGUGACAAAUGCCCCAGUGCUUACCAGCUGUACAACCUGGAUCAACGUGCAUGCUCUGAGCUUCAGUGUUCUCAUCUGUCAAAUGGUGCUUACAACACCUACCUCACAGAGUUUCCCAGAGAUUAAAAUCUAACAUGGUACCUGGCAUAUACUAGGGACUCCAUUAACAUUUAUUGAACUGAGCUGAGAGCCUCACAUCUACUGAGCAUCCACGAUGGACCAGGAUCUUGUGCAUCUAAGACAGCUCAUCCACCUGCUUGUAAGCGUCCCUCCGCCCCAGGCCCACUCUAAGAGAGUUCUCUGUCUGCCAGCCUGUUCCUGCUUCUUCUGGGAGGCAGCAUCAGGAGCCUGGCAGGCAGGACAGGGGAAGGACAGAAUUGGAGAAAAACUUAGCAGAAGGGUGGGCCCAUCUACAACAUAAAGAGCUGCAGUGGGGGGUGCACAGAGAAGAGGAAAGCUGGGUGUGGGGGGAACUGCAGUGGGGCACAUGGGCUCAAAUGUGCUGCUGGGGCACAGGACAGGGACUCCUAACCUUCAACUUUCCUUCAAAGGACAAUAAAGGGACAGCUUUCCAAUUACUUCUGGCUGCAU
ensembl:lncRNA